rnacentral:rRNA from 1 species
GUAGUCAUAUGCUUGUCUCAAAGAUUAAGCCAUGCAUGUCUAAGUAUAAGCAAUUAUACAGCGAAACUGCGAAUGGCUCAUUAAAUCAGUUAUCGUUUAUUUGAUAGUACCCUACUACAUGGAUAACCGUGGUAAUUCUAGAGCUAAUACAUGCUAAAAAUCCCGACUUCGGAAGGGAUGUAUUUAUUAGAUUAAAAACCAAUGCCCUUCGGGGCUUCCUGGUGAUUCAUAAUAACUUCUCGAAUCGCACGGCCUUGCGCCGGCGAUGGUUCAUUCAAAUUUCUGCCCUAUCAACUUUCGACGGCUGGGUCUUGGCCAGCCGUGGUGACAACGGGUAACGGGGAAU